GAUGAACGCUAGCGGCAGGCUUAACACAUGCCAGUCGAGGGGCAGCAUAAUGGAUAGCCCUAUCUAUGGUGGCGACCGGCGCACGGGUGCGUAACGCGUAUGCAACCUACCUUUAACAGGGGGAUAACACUGAGAAAUUGGUACUAAUACCCCAUAAUAUCAUAGAAGGCAUCUUUUAUGGUUGAAAAUUCCGAUGGUUAGAGAUGGGCAUGCGUUGUAUUAGCUAGUUGGUGGGGUAACGGCUCACCAAGGCGACGAUACAUAGGGGGACUGAGAGGUUAACCCCCCACACUGGUACUGAGACACGGACCAGACUCCUACGGGAGGCAGCAGUGAGGAAUAUGGGUCAAUGGACGCAAGUCUGAACCAGCCAUGCCGCGUGCAGGAGGACGGCUCUAUGAGUUGUAAACUGCUUUUGUACGAGGGUAAACGCAGAUACGUGUAUCUGUCUGAAAGUAUCGUACGAAUAAGGAUCGGCUAACUCCGUG
rnacentral:rRNA from 1 species